AGAGUCUGGCAGAGGUCUGGCAGAGCCAGGGUGGCCAAGGUGUCUGCUGAGCCUGGGGUGCUCCUUGCCCCGGGAGAGACCUGUACCUCUAGAAUUUUUGCUGUUCGGUGUUGUGGCGGACUGUUGCAUACACCUACUCCUUUCGUACUAAGUAUCCUGAGCAUGAAGACCCAGGGGAUAUCUGGCAACGUUUAUUCCCAGCUAUUUGGGACUGCAGGGAAUUUGGAAGGAGGAAAAAAAAAAGGCACAACUGAUGAAGGACCUAUUGUGCUGCAGGCACAGACCUGGACUAGAUGGACCUUUUGGGCCUAGAAGAGCAUUCAUGUGUCCUUUUAAAAACUGUAUUGAUUUU